rnacentral:rRNA from 1 species
AAUUAUUAUUAUGAUGCUAUAUAGUUAUUCACGAAAUAAAUUGAGCUAAAUAUUUUUAAUAAUAUUAGAUUAUAAUUUUUAUGUUGCAAAAUAUUUUAACUAUUUAUAUUUAGUGGUGAAAGGCCAUUCAAGUUUUAUGAUAUCUUGAUGUAUAUAAAAUAUAUUAAGUAUUUCUAAAGCAUCUAUUGAAUGAUUAGGUUCAAUAGAUUCAUUAUUUUUUUUACAAAAUUAUUAAUUUUUUUAAGUUAAAUUAAUUUUAUUUAUAAAAUAUAAAUCAAUUUUAUUCAUAUGAAUUUUAAUAUACUAUGAUUAUUAAUCAAAAAUCAUCAUUUAUAAUGUAAUUAUUAGUAAUAGCAUUAAUCCUUAUAGAGGAAUUCGGCAAAAAUUAAUUUUUCGACUGUUUAUCAAAAACAUAGCUUGUUGAAUUUUAUAAUAAGUUAACCCUGCUCAAUGAAAAUGUAAAUAGCCGCAGUACCUUGACUGUGCAAAGGUAGCAUAAUCAAUUGGCUUAUAAUUGAAGUCUGGAAUGAAUGGGUAUCACGGAAAAUAGCUGUCUUUAUUUUAACUUUCGAAGUUACUUAAAAAGUGAAAAUACUUUUACAAAAAUAUAAGACGAGAAGACCCUAGAAAUUUGUAUAUAAAUUUUGUUGGGGCGACAGGGUAACAUAAGUAACUUACCUAUAUUUAAAUAUAAACCUUAUUAGGUAUGUAAUUAAAUUACUCUAGGGAUAACAGCAUAAUAUAUAAAAGUUUAUGACCUCGAUGUUGGACUAGGUAAUUAAAUAUUUAAAAGAUAUUUAAUUAUGCUCUGUUCGAGCAGUACUACCUACAU